rnacentral:rRNA from 1 species
CCUACGGGGGGCAGCAGUGGGGAAUAUUGCACAAUGGGGGAAACCCUGAUGCAGCGACGCCGCGUGAGUGAAGAAGUAUUUCGGUAUGUAAAGCUCUAUCAGCAGGGAAGAAAAUGACGGUACCUGAGUAAGAAGCCCCGGCUAACUACGUGCCAGCAGCCGCGGUAAUACGUAGGGGGCAAGCGUUAUCCGGAUUUACUGGGUGUAAAGGGAGCGCAGACGGCUCUGCAAGUCUGAAGUGAAAGCCCACGGCUUAACCGCGGGACUGCUUUGGAAACUGCAGGGCUUGAGUAUCGGAGGGGCAGGCGGAAUUCCUAGUGUAGCGGUGAAAUGCGUAGAUAUUAGGAAGAACACCGGUGGCGAAGGCGGCCUGCUGGACGAAAACUGACGUUGAGGCUCGAAGGCGUGGGG